rnacentral:rRNA from 1 species
UACGUAGGGGGCAAGCGUUGUCCGGAAUCAUUGGGCGUAAAGCGCGCGUAGGCGGCCCGGUAAGUCCGUUGUAAAAGUCAAAGGCUCAACCUUUGAAAGCCGAUGGAUACUGCUGGGCUAGAGUCCGGAAGAGGCGAGUGGAAUUCCUGGUGUAGCGGUGGAAUGCGCAGAUAUCAGGAGGAACACCGAUAGCGAAGGCAGCUCGCUGGGACGGUACUGACGCUGAGGCGCGAAAGCGUGGGGAGCGAACAGG